UUGCUUCAGCAGCAUAUAUACUAAAAUUGAAAAGAUACAGAGAAGAUUAGGAUGACCCCUGAGCAAGGAUGGCACACAAACUCACAAAGCAUUCCCCCAAAGUU